rnacentral:rRNA from 1 species
UAAGUACAUGCAAGUCGUACGCUUCUUUUUCACCGGAGCUUGCUCCACCGGAAAAAGAAGAGUGGCGAACGGGUGAGUAACACGUGGGUAACCUGCCCAUCAGAAGGGGAUAACACUUGGAAACAGGUGCUAAUACCGUAUAACAAUCGAAACCGCAUGGUUUUGAUUUGAAAGGCGCUUUCGGGUGUCGCUGAUGGAUGGACCCGCGGUGCAUUAGCUAGUUGGUGAGGUAACGGCUCACCAAGGCCACGAUGCAUAGCCGACCUGAGAGGGUGAUCGGCCACAUUGGGACUGAGACACGGCCCAAACUCCUACGGGAGGCAGCAGUAGGGAAUCUUCGGCAAUGGACGAAAGUCUGACCGAGCAACGCCGCGUGAGUGAAGAAGGUUUUCGGAUCGUAAAACUCUGUUGUUAGAGAAGAACAAGGAUGAGAGUAACUGUUCAUCCCUUGACGGUAUCUAACCAGAAAGCCACGGCUAACUACGUGCCAGCAGCCGCGGUAAUACGUAGGUGGCAAGCGUUGUCCGGAUUUAUUGGGCGUAAAGCGAGCGCAGGCGGUUUCUUAAGUCUGAUGUGAAAGCCCCCGGCUCAACCGGGGAGGGUCAUUGGAAACUGGGAGACUUGAGUGCAGAAGAGGAGAGUGGAAUUCCAUGUGUAGCGGUGAAAUGCGUAGAUAUAUGGAGGAACACCAGUGGCGAAGGCGGCUCUCUGGUCUGUAACUGACGCUGAGGCUCGAAAGCGUGGGGAGCAAACAGGAUUAGAUACCCUGGUAGUCCACGCCGUAAACGAUGAGUGCUAAGUGUUGGAGGGUUUCCGCCCUUCAGUGCUGCAGCUAACGCAUUAAGCACUCCGCCUGGGGAGUACGACCGCAAGGUUGAAACUCAAAGGAAUUGACGGGGGCCCGCACAAGCGGUGGAGCAUGUGGUUUAAUUCGAAGCAACGCGAAGAACCUUACCAGGUCUUGACAUCCUUUGACCACUCUAGAGAUAGAGCUUCCCCUUCGGGGGCAAAGUGACAGGUGGUGCAUGGUUGUCGUCAGCUCGUGUCGUGAGAUGUUGGGUUAAGUCCCGCAACGAGCGCAACCCUUAUUGUUAGUUGCCAUCAUUCAGUUGGGCACUCUAGCAAGACUGCCGGUGACAAACCGGAGG